ensembl:lncRNA
GUCAGAUCGUGUGCAUUAACAAGGAAGGCAGUUAACGGAAAGGUUUUAUGCCUGGUCACAUCAAUGUUUGAAGAUAUGAUUGCUGUGUUGGAAGUUAACCUUACUGCAUUGGUGAGAACUCAGCAGAGGGAUUUUCUCUCAUGUGGAAAUGAGAAGAGUCUAUCAGUUAUUGCCAGUUGUAUUGAGUGGGAGAAGUCAGAGAAUGGUUGAAAUUGUAAGGCACGUCUGGAGGUCAUCUUGUCCAACUGCCAGGCUCAAUCAGGACCACUUGGAGUCAGUUGCCCAGCACCAUGUCCAAAUGAAUUUUGAAUUUCUCCAAGGAGGGAGACAACGCAACCUGUCUAUGGAAGUGCUCAGUCACCCGCACAGUAAAGAAGUGUUUCCUGGCGUUCAGACAGAACCUCCUGUAUUUCAGUUUUUGCCCAUUGCCUCUUGUCCUUUCACUGAACACAGAAUCUGGCUCUAGAGUCUUCCUUACAGCCCAGUACUGGUGCCUAGGGCUGUUCCCCCUGUGCAGAACUUUGCACUUGCCCUUGUUGAACUUCAUGAGGUUGCUGCCAGCCCGUUUCUCCAGCCUGUGGAUGUCUCUCUGGAUGGCGGCACAACAUUCUGGUGUAUCAGACACUCUGCUCAGUUUUAUGUCAUCAGCAAACAUGGUGAGGGUACACUCUACUCCAUCCAGAUUAUUAAUGCAGAUGACUAAGAGAAUUGGACCCAGUAUUGACACCUGGGGCCUGGCUGUUCAGCUGGUUUUCAGUCUACCUCACUGUAUGCUCAUCUGGCCCAUACUUCAUCAGCUUCACUAUGAGGAUCUUAUGUGAGACAGUGUGGAAAGCCUUCUUGAAGUCAAAGUGGACAAUAUCCACCCCUUUCCCCUCGCCUACCAAGCCAGUCAUUUUAUCAUAGAAGUAUAUCAAGUUGAUCAAGCGUGACUUCCCCUUGGUGAAUCCAUGCUGACUACUACUUCCUUCCAACCCAGGCUAUUUUAUGACUUGUAGGAAAAUACUGACAUCUUGAAGACAAUAAAAAACCCUACAAUAUACAUUGAAGUGCAGAUUUUGGUGCUUAUAAUAAAAUCAUCAGGUAAUAGUCACAGAAAUGGGAUUUGACUUGUAAAUGCAUUAGUCUAUGAAUCUACUUGGGGCCAAGGCUUGCCUGUGCUGCUGGGUAUCUGAGCUGAUAACUAAUCCACUGUCUUGUUCAUAUUCAUGAAAAUCUCACUGGUAUCACACGUAUACAUACACACAAGCACACAAAUAACUAAAAAUGAUUUUUGACACCUUUUCCUAAUAUGAUGCUUUCGUCCAUUGCAUUGAUUAAUUUUUGUGCUUGGUUUUAUAACUUAGGUGUUCUUUACUGGAAAGUUCUCCAUUGCGUAAAGGUUUAAAGAAAAGCAUGAAAGAACCUUCUAGUAAAAAACUUGGUAAGUAUAAACCAAUCUUGAAAUUAAUAAAUACAGUUAUAUUUUUUCUUUUUUUUAAUUAAAAGUAACUGACUCACAACUGGCUGAUGCCUAAUAUAACUAGUAUAUUGAUUUCUGUUUUAAAUAUAUAUUGCAUUAUGUUUUUAAUUGGAAGAACUUUUAUACUUCUAGCAGUGUUUCAUAGCCUGCAUAUGUAAUUGUAGUGAAAAUGAUGGUAAUAAGGUAUUUUUCUUAUUUGAAAAACAAUACUCUAAGAACUUUAUGUGGAUUUUAAAAGAGUUAGGGUUUAGGAUGUUUAAUCUUUCAUAAGUCGUUCUUUUUCCAUAGCAUGCACUAUAUUUUUUUCUGUAUAAUUUGUUGUUUCUUUCUUAACUUUGAUUACCUGUUAUGGUUAAUUUUAUUGUCCUGAAUAGUCCUUUGUCAAUAUCUGCAAGUUUAGGAAGUUAAUUUUUGCCUCAGCAUCCUACUGUUAAAAAAAAAACCAAAAACCCAAAAAAACCCCAAAUCUGACUUCCAAUUGCUGUUGAAGCACUUGUAGCUUUUUUGUUUAGCAACAGUUAAGCAAAGUCCAAAAAGCACUUACAAAAUAAUUUUUUCAUCAUCACCUUUUCUUUAGGAAAGGUAUAAAAAUACUGAUAACUGUAGACACGUAGAAAUAAUUUUUUACUAUAUUGAUUGUACUUGUUGGACCUGGUAGAAUGUCAAAGCUUAUAUCAUUAGUGUUGUAUGAUAUUCCAAGAAUGCAUCUACAGUGUUUUAGCUAGAAUUCGGCUGCUUUGGACAUGCAGCACUGAUACCUGUACUAGAAGUUCUUUCUCAUUGAUAUUAUUGGAGGAGAGAUGUUAUGCAGUGUAAUAGUUCAUAUUUCUUUCCUUUCCUUAGUAAUCAUUAUUUUAGAGUGACUGAUACUAAAUAUGGUUUGUAACGUAAGGAGACAUCAGAUAUUUCUACUGUGCUAGCCUGUCUACAUAACUGUAAAAAUAUGAUGUUAAAACCCCCCAUUUUAAUGUAAAUUGAAUUAUUUUACUAUAGGAGCGAAAAGCACAGUGAAAGAUCAGCCAUUAGUUUUCCAUAAUAAAAUUAAGUCAUCAGGUUAUACAGCAGCACCACGGUGAGUAGAUGCAUUACUAUUUUGUCUGGUUUAUUGGUGUGUGAUGUUUUGUCAUGAGACACAUAGUCUUGUGACUGUGAAAUUCACCACCCAUGAAAAACAGAUAUGAUGUUAUCAAACAAUUUAAAAAGUAUGUUGUAAAAAAAAAAAAAA